rnacentral:rRNA from 1 species
UGAGGAAUAUUGGUCAAUGGGCGAGAGCCUGAACCAGCCAAGUAGCGUGCAGGAAGACGGCCCUAUGGGUUGUAAACUGCUUUUAUGUGGGGAUAAAGUGCGUGACGUGUCAUGCAUUGCAGGUACCACAUGAAUAAGGACCGGCUAAUUCCGUGCCAGCAGCCGCGGUAAUACGGAAGGUCCGGGCGUUAUCCGGAUUUAUUGGGUUUAAAGGGAGCAUAGGCUGUCUAUUAAGCGUGUUGUGAAAUAUACAGGCUCAACCGGUGGCUUGCAGCGCGAACUGGUCGACUUGAGUAUGCAGGAAGUAGGCGGAAUUCAUGGUGUAGCGGUGAAAUGCUUAGAUAUCAUGACGAACUCCGAUUGCGCAGGCAGCUUACUGUAGCAUAACUGACGCUGAUGCUCGAAAGUGCGGGUAUCAAACAGG